rnacentral:sRNA from 1 species
UGGAAGUCUACCUGCACCCUGGAGCCGUGGUGUUUGGGCGGCCUCGACUAGCCUUGAUGUACCGAAUGCAGGUUGCAAAUAUUGACAAGUUUGAAGAGAAGCUUCGAGCAGCUGAAGAUGAGCUGAAUAUCGAGGCCAAGGACAGGAUCCCAGUUUCCUACAAGCGAACAGGAUUCUUUGGAAAUGCCCUGUACUCCGUGGGGAUGACGGCAGUGGGCCUGGCCAUCCUGUGGUAUGUUUUCCGUCUGGCCGGGAUGACUGGAAGGGAAGGUGGAUUCAGUGCUUUUGUAAGUUCUGUAAAUCAGAGCUCUCUGAACUCUUUCUGGUUUGUGUUUGCUGAAUACUUUUCCCAUAAGCUAUACGAUGAAUACACAGGGAAAACCUGUUGCAGAGAGUAGCCUGAAGCCACAAUUAGACAGCAG